AGUUUUAUAUUCAAUAAAUGAUAUUAAAUUGCAAAUUUAAAGUAGUAAUUUUACUAAAGCUU
rnacentral:tRNA from 1 species